AUGAGCCUUGCAUUCACUUGUGCGUUGUUACACUGCAUAAUGGCGACAGGUGAGAAAAGAGCAAAAAAAAAACGUAAUUUCUCAGACACUGACAUACACAUACUUGUAGGGGAGGUGGAGGCCCGGAAAACAACAUUAUUUGGUGGCCACAGCAGUAGGAUCACUAAUAAAAAGAAGCAGUGCGAGUGGCAACGUGUUGCUGCUUCUGUCAACUGCAUCAGUGGGACAGAACAGACAGUUGCAGAACUAAAGGAAAAGUGGUCCGAUCUGAAGUUAUCUAAUGGUAGAGUACUUGAUGCUAUCCUGUACUCCAUCCUGCCCUGCCAUCUCCACCUGCACUCCCUCGCACUGUUGUACAAAUAUGUCUUAGUGAAAAGAAAAAGAAGAAGAAGAAGAAGAAGAAGAAGAAGAAGAAGAAGAAAGUAUGGUCAGCAUUCUAUUAAGAGAGUUAACUUAAAGGUAUACUCCAUCCCAAAAUGAAAAUUUUGUCAUUAUUCACUUACCCCCAUGUCGUUCCAAACCCAUAAAAGCUUUGUUCAGCGUAGCACCAUUUUGACAAAUCUGAGCAGUACGCAGGCGGCUUAUGCUCUUCUGUAUCAGCCGCGCCACAAGGAUACGUUUUAUCGUGUAUUUAUGCUUUGGUUUGAAAGCAAACAGUGCAACGGCGCAGCAUGGCUGACACCUGUGUACUGCUCAGAAUUGCCAAAAUGGCACUACGCUGAUUUGGAGAGACACAGAGGACAGGAAUUGUUGAAUAAAGUCAUUAUUUUUGUUUUUUUUUCGUGUACA
ensembl:lncRNA